rnacentral:lncRNA from 1 species
UUUAGUAAGCCCUUUGGUGACAUGAGCUGUCACCAACACCUGAGGACUGUGUGGGAUGGGUAAUUUGGAGGGUGUGGCUUUUGAAUUGGUUCUUGAAGGUUGUACAGAAAUGCUAGCUUUAAAGAUACAGAAUAGAGAGGCAAGAGAUGAAGCGCACCGGUGAAGAGAAAGGAAGCAUUUCAGGGAGCAGUAAGCCACAGAUUGGCUGGACUGGAGAGGCUGACAAUGAGUGUGGGUACAGGACGGACCGGUAGGAUUACUAAAAGCCCCCAGCGCAUGGCUGGCAGGGUUCUCCAAAACCAUAGUCUGGAUUGGCACAGCAGCAUUCGGACUUGGUCACUGCACCGGGGAAAGGACGCACACACACUCCUUUCUUGAUUCCUCCAUAGCAGGUACUGCGCAUGUGAGUAUCUAAAGGA